rnacentral:rRNA from 1 species
GUGGGGAAUAUUGGACAAUGGGCGCAAGCCUGAUCCAGCCAUGCCGCGUGAGUGAUGAAGGCCUUAGGGUUGUAAAGCUCUUUUGUCCGGGAAGAUAAUGACUGUACCGGAAGAAUAAGCCCCGGCUAACUUCGUGCCAGCAGCCGCGGUAAUACGAAGGGGGCUAGCGUUGUUCGGAAUCACUGGGCGUAAAGCGCACGUAGGCGGACCAUUAAGUCAGGGGUGAAAGCCUGGAGCUCAACUCCAGAACUGCCUUUGAUACUGAUGGUCUCGAGUAUGGAAGAGGUUGGUGGAACUGCGUGUGUAGAGGUGAAAUUCGUAGAUAUUCGCAAGAACACCGGUGGCGAAGGCGGCCAACUGGUCCAUUACUGACGCUGAGGUGCGAAAGCGUGGGGAGCAAACAGGAUUAGAAACCCGGGUAGUCC